UACGAAGGGGGCUAGCGUUGCUCGGAUUGACUGGGCGUAAAGGGCGCGUAGGCGGUUCGUACAGUCAGACGUGAAAUUCCUGGGCUCAACCUGGGGGCUGCGUUUGAUACGUGUUUGCUUGAGUGGGGAAGAGGGUCGUGGAAUUCCCAGUGUAGAGGUGAAAUUCGUAGAUAUUGGGAAGAACACCGGUGGCGAAGGCGGCGACCUGGUCCUUGACUGACGCUGAGGCGCGAAAGCGUGGGGAGCAAACAGG
rnacentral:rRNA from 1 species